rnacentral:rRNA from 1 species
CAGUAGCCGCGGUAAUACGAAGGAGGCUAGCGUUGCUCGGAAUGACUGGGCGUAAAGGGCGCGUAGGCGGCGAUCAAAGUCAGGCGUGAAAUUCCUGGGCUCAACCUGGGGGCUGCGCUUGAUACUUGGUUGCUUGAGUGGGGAAGAGGGUCGUGGAAUUCCCAGUGUAGAGGUGAAAUUCGUAGAUAUUGGGAAGAACACCGGUGGCGAAGGCGGCGACCUGGUCCUUGACUGACGCUGAGGCGCGAAAGCGUGGGGAGCAAACAGGAUUAGAUACCCCCGUAGUCCCUGUCUCUUAUAC